rnacentral:rRNA from 1 species
GACGAACGCUGGCGGCGCGCCUAAUACAUGCAAGUCGAGCGAGAAGGUGUAGCAAUACACUUGUAAAGCGGCGAACGGGUGAGGAAUACAUGGGUAACCUACCCUCGAGUGGGGAAUAACUAGCCGAAAGGUUAGCUAAUACCGCGUACGCUUCCGGGACUGCGGUUCCGGAAGGAAAGCGAUACUGUGAGUAUCGCGCUCUUGGAUGGGCUCAUGUCCUAUCAGCUUGUUGGGAGGUAACGGCUCACCAAGGCUUCGACGGGUAGCUGGUCUGAGAGGACGAUCAGCCACACUGGCACUGCGACACGGGCCAGACUCCUACGGGAGGCAGCAGUAAGGAAUAUUGCGCAAUGGACGACAGUCUGACGCAGCGACGCCGCGUGGGGGACGAAGGUCUUCGGAUU